ACACCCAAUGUGGGGCUCGAACUCACAACCCCAAGAUCAAGAGUUGCACGCUCCACCAACUGACCCAGCCAGGCUUCCCAGGAGUAUUUCUGUUUGGUUGUUAAUGUGGUGUGCAAAUGUAUAUGCACAUAUGCAUGUUACAUGUAACAUACAUAGUGUAACAUAUAACAUACAUGUAUAUAUAUAUCAUUGCCACUUUAAUUUUUACUUUCUUUUGAAGUUAUUUUAUUUUAUUUUUUUAAUUUUUUUUUAAUUUUUAUUUAUUUAUGAUAGUCACAGAGAGAGAUAGAGAGAGGCAGAGACACAGGCAGAGGGAGCAGCAGGUCCAUGCACCGGGAGCCCGACGUGGGAUUCGAUCCCGGGUCUCCAGGAUCGCGCCCUGGGGCAAAGGCAGGCGCUAAACCGCUGCGCCACCCAGGGAUCCCUUGAAGUUAUUUUAAAGAUCUUAUUUAUUUGAGAAAGAGGUAGAGAGCAUGAGUGGGGGGAAGGGUCAGAGGGUGAGGGAGAAAGAAUCUCCUGCAGACUCCAACCUGAACUCAGAGCCCAAAGCAGGGCUGACGUCAUGACUACGAGACCAUGAUCUGACCCAAAAUCAAGAGUCAGGUGCUCAGGGCACCUGGGUGGCUCAGUGGUUGAGCGUCUGCCUUUGGCUCAGGGUGUGAUCCCAGGGUCCUGGGAUCAAGCCCCACAUCGGGCUCCCUGCAUGGAUCCUGCUUCUCCCUCUGCCUGUGUCUCUGCCUCUCUCUCUGUCUCUUGAAUAAAUAAAAUCUUUUUUUUUUUUUAAGGGAGACGCUCAACCAACUGAGCUCCCCAGGUGCCCCUCUAGCAGUGCUUUAGAAGGUGUAGGUUCUUGGGAGCCUGGGGGGCCCAGUCAAUUGAGCAUCUGCCUUUGGCUAAGGUCAUGGUCUCAGGAGUCCUGCAUGGGGCUCCCUGCAGCUAGGAGUCUGCUUCUCCCUCUACCUUCCUGCCCCUGAGUCAUGAUCACUCUCUCUCUCUUUCUCUCAAAUAAAUAAAUCUUAAAACAAAGAAGUGUAUAUUGUAGGACCCAGAAUUUCCUUCUGGAAACUCGUCUUACAGAAAUGCUUACACAUGCACAGAUAUAUGUAUGACGAUAUUCACUGUGGUAAUUUAGAACAGGGGAGAGCAGGAAAUGAUAGAGAAAUCCAUCUGUAGGUGGAAGGGGGAGGUAAAUUGUGCUAUAUUCAUACUACAUAGUCAUUAAAAAAUAAAGGUCCUGGGCAGCCCUGGUGGUGCAGCAGUUUAGCGCCGCCUGCAGCUCAGGGUGUGAUCCUAGAGACCUGGGAUCGAGUCCCAUGUCAGGUUCCCUGCAUGGAGCCUGCUUCUCCCUCUGCCUGUGUCUCUGCCUCUCUCUCUCUGUCUCUCAUGAAUAAAUAAAAUCUUUAAAAAAAUAAAAAUGAAAAAAAUAAAGGUCCUUCACGUAUGCCAACUAGAAAAAGUCUCCAUGCAAAAAAGAGUUACAGGAAAAAAAGUAAUAAUUCAAUGUUGUUGGUUUUUUCCAGAUUAUUUAUUUAUUUAUUUGUUUAUUUAUUUAGUGCA
rnacentral:lncRNA from 1 species